UGUAUGCAUUCAGUGUAAGUCGCUCUGGAUAAGAGCGUCUGCUAAAUGACUAAAA
rfam:Salmo salar isolate Sally breed double haploid chromosome ssa22, whole genome shotgun sequence.